rnacentral:sRNA from 1 species
UUUUUAUAUGUAUAUUUCAA